rnacentral:rRNA from 1 species
ACGGAGGGUGCGAGCGUUAUUCGGAAUUACUGGGCGUAAAGCGCGUGCAGGCGGGUUGGCAAGUCUGGUGUGAAAGCCCCCGGCUCAACCGGGGGAGUGCGUUGGAAACUGCUUAUCUUGAGUGAUGGAGAGGAAGGGAGAAUUCCCGGUGUAGAGGUGAAAUUCGUAGAGAUCGGGAGGAAUACCAGUGGCGAAGGCGACCUUCUGGACGGCAACUGACGCUGAGACGCGAAAGCGUGGGGAGCAAACAG